UACGUAGGAGGCGAGCGUUGUCCGGAUUUACUGGGCGUAAAGCGCGCGCAGGCGGCAUGGCAAGUCAGGUGUGAAAUCCCCAGGCUUAACCUGGGAACUGCAUUCGAGACUGCAUUGCUAGAGUAUGGGAGAGGGAAGUGGAAUUUCCGGUGUAGCGGUGAAAUGCGUAGAUAUCGGAAGGAACAUCAGUGGCGAAAGCGACUUCCUGGACCAAUACUGACGCUCAUGUGCGAAAGCGUGGGGAGCAAACAGG
rnacentral:rRNA from 1 species